AGCAUGUGGUUUAAUUCGAAGAUACACGAAGAACCUUACCUGGCCUUGACAUGGUAGGAACCCUUAAGAGAUUAGGGGUGCUAGCUUGCUAGAACCUACACACAGGUGCUGCACGGCUGUCGUCAGCUCGUGUCGUGAGAUGUUGGGUUAAGUCCCGCAACGAGCGCAACCCUCGUCCUUAGUUGCUAACAGUUCGGCUGAGCACUCUAGGGAGACUGCCUUCGCAAGGAGGAGGAAGGUGAGGACGACGUCAAGUCAUCAUGGCCCUUACGGCCAGGGCUACACACGUGCUACAAUGGGGCGUACAGAGAGCUGCGAUACCGCGAGGUGGAGCCAAUCUCUUAAAGCGUCUCUCAGUUCGGAUUGUUCUCUGCAACUCGAGAACAUGAAGCUGGAAUCACUAGUAAUCGCAGAUCAGCUAUGCUGCGGUGAAUACGUUCCCGGGUCUU
rnacentral:rRNA from 1 species